UACGUAGGCAGCGAGCGUUGUUCGGAGUUACUGGGCGUAAAGGGUGUGUAGGCGGUUGUUUAAGUUUGGGGGGAAAUCUCCCGGCUCAACUGGGAGGGUGCGCCGAAUACUGAAUGACUAGAGUGCGGGAGAGGUGAGUGGAAUUCCUGGUGUAGCGGUGAAAUGCGUAGAUAUCAGGAGGAACACCGGUGGUGUAGACGGCUCACUGGACCGUAACUGACGCUGAGACACGAAAGCGUGGGUAGCAAACAGG
rnacentral:rRNA from 1 species